CAGCCCUGUGUAACACACAAACCAACCCACCGGGCAGCAUGUUUUACAAACACGUGGAGCCAGAAUGAUCGCAUUGAUACAGGAAUGAAUCUGUCCUGCACAGUUUCAUAUUCUAACUACUAGACUACACUCCCAUAAAAAAAAAUUAAAAGGGAUCAAAAGCUGGGCUCUGUCUGGAAGGCAUAUUUCAACCUUGACCAAGAUGUUGAAAAUAGGUGGUCUCUGAUUGUCUACCUCAUGCCUGCACAAACCCAGUCUACUUCAUCAAGCAACAUUAAGAUCUGUCCCUUGUCUGUAUUCAGUCGUAUCUGCUUACGUGUGAAGGAGCAGAGAGACCGCUGCCAGGCACAGUAGGGGUUAAAGAAAACCUGUGGGUUCAGCUAGCCCUGCCCCAUUAUAUCUGCAGCCAAUGCCAGGCCUGGAAGGAGGAGAAAAAGAAGGGAGCCUGACUCAGUCUGGGGCUGACUGGUGAAGAAGUAGCUCUCUGUGUGGCUAUAUGAAGGCACAGAUGCAACCUUCCUGCUAAUGCAGCAACUGGAACAAUGGGGAGACUUGGUCGUGUUGGAUAAAUCUCUCUACUACGUUUCAAGAACUGCAUAAGUAUCAGUAUCAUGCAUGCCAAUGCACACUGAUUGGUUUCAGAAAACAGCAGAUACAUAAUUAAGAAUAUAUAAUCCCAUAUCACUUUUAGUCAUCAUGUGCAAAUGAGGUAGGCAAGACCUUAAAAACUAACAUCCUGAAUGUUUUGUAUAGAUCAGAGGUUCUCAAACUGUGGGUGGUCCAUGAGCUCCAUUCAGGUGGUCCGCAGAUAGUUCUCUCUAAGGUGCGUGCCUGGGUGGCUGCACACUAGACAAUGAAGGGCCACCCACCUAAUUAGUGGAGCCGCGUAGGAGUGGCUCCACUAAUUAGGUGCCUGGACCUUGGAGAAGAUGCACAUGUAAGGUGAG